rnacentral:rRNA from 1 species
AAAGGUAAGCUACUAAGAGCGAAUGGUGGAUGCCUUGACUGGUAAAGGCGAUGAAGGACGUACUAGACUGCGAUAAGCUACGGGGAGCUGUCAAGAAGCUUUGAUCCGUAGAUUUCCGAAUGGGGCAACCCAAUGUAUAGAGAUAUGCAUUACCUAUAUAGGAGCGAACGAGGGGAAUUGAAACAUCUUAGUACCCUCAGGAAAAGAAAUCAAUAGAGAUUGCGUCAGUAGCGGCGAGCGAAAGCGCAAGAGGGCAAACCCAGUGCUUGCACUGGGGGUUGUAGGACUGCAAUGUGCAAGAGGUAAGUUUAGCAGAACAUUCUGGAAAGUAUAACCAUAGAGGGUGAUAGUCCCGUAUGCGAAAAACAAACCUUAGCUAGCAGUAUCCUGAGUAGGGCGGGACACGAGGAAUCCUGUCUGAAUCCGGGUCGACCACGAUCCAACCCUAAAUACUAAUACCAGAUCGAUAGUGCACAAGUACCGUGAGGGAAAGGUGAAAAGAACUGAGGUGAUCAGAGUGAAAUAGAACCUGAAACCAUUUGCUUACAAUCAUUCAGAGCCCUAUGUAGGAAUACAGGGUGAUGGACUGCCUUUUGCAUAAUGAGCCUGCGAGUUGUGGUGUCUGGCAAGGUUAAGCAAACGCGAAGCCGUAGCGAAAGCGAGUCUGAAUAGGGCGCUUAGUCAGAUGCUGCAGACCCGAAACGAAGUGAUCUAUCCAUGAGCAAGUUGAAGCUAGUGUAAGAACUAGUGGAGGACUGAACCCAUAGGCGUUGAAAAGCCCCGGGAUGACUUGU